CGGGUGAGUAACACGUGGAUAACCUACCUAUAAGACUGGGAUAACUUCGGGAAACCGGAGCUAAUACCGGAUAAUAUAUUGAACCGCAUGGUUCAAUAGUGAAAGACGGUUUUGCUGUCACUUAUAGAUGGAUCCGCGCUGCAUUAGCUAGUUGGUAAGGUAACGGCUUACCAAGGCAACGAUGCGUAGCCGACCUGAGAGGGUGAUCGGCCACACUGGAACUGAGACACGGUCCAGACUCCUACGGGAGGCAGCAGGC
rnacentral:rRNA from 1 species